UCGGGAAUUUUGGGCAAUGGGCGAAAGCCUGACCCAGCAACGCCGCGUGAAGGAUGAAGUAUUUCGGUAUGUAAACUUCGAAAGAAUAGGAAGAAUAAAUGACGGUACUAUUUAUAAGGUCCGGCUAACUACGUGCCAGCAGCCGCGGUAAUACGUAGGGACCAAGCGUUGUUCGGAUUUACUGGGCGUAAAGGGCGCGUAGGCGGCAAUUCAAGUCAUCUGUGAAAUCUCCGGGCUUAACUCGGAACGGUCAGAUGAUACUGCUUUGCUAGAGUGCAGAAGGGGCAAUCGGAAUUCCUGGUGUAGCGGUGAAAUGCGUAGAUAUCAAGAGGAACACCUGAGGUGAAGACGGGUUGCUGGGCUGACACUGACGCUGAGGCGC
rnacentral:rRNA from 1 species